CCGCCAGACUCCUACGGGAGGCAGCAGUAGGGAAUCUUUCACAAUGGGCGAAAGCCUGAUGGAGCAACGCCGCGUGCAGGAUGAAGGCCUUCGGGUUGUAAACUGCUUUUAUAAGCGAGAAAUAUGAUGGUAACUUAUGAAUAAGGAUCGACUAACUACGUGCCAGCAGCCGCGGUCAUACGUAGGAUCCGAGCAUUAUCCGGAGUGACUGGGUGUAAAGGGAGCGUAGACGGUUAUGCAAGUCUGAAGUGAAAGCCCAAGGCUCAACCAUGGGACUGCUUUGGAAACUGUAAAACUGGAGUGCAGGAGAGGUAAGCGGAAUUCCUAGUGUAGCGGUGAAAUGCGUAGAUAUUAGGAGGAACACCGGUGGCGAAGGCGGCUUACUAGACUGUAACUGACGUUGAGGCUCGAAGGCGUGGGGAGCAAACAGGAUUAGAUACCCUCGUAU
rnacentral:rRNA from 1 species